GUGCAUGAUUUAUAUAUCUUUGGGUUCCUUUUUACGUGGAACAUCAAUCAGCCAAAAUCAUGCUAAAGAAAAAUCUUGAGGAGUUUUCAGGGCUGCCAGUCUUAUAGUACAGACUGAGCGGUAGUAUAUUACUCCUACAGUU